UCUCCAUGGGGUGGUGGGGAACUGGGGUGGUGGGAUCCCAUGGGGUGGUGGGUCUCCAUGGGGUGGUGGGUCUCCAUGGGGUGGUGGGAUCCCAUGGGGUGGUGGGAUCCCAUGGGGUGGUGAGAUGUUGGGGUUGUGGGUCUCCAUGGGGUGGUGGGAUUUGGGGUGGUGGGUCUCCAUGGGGUGGUGGAUUUGGGGUGGUGGGAUCCCAUGGGGUGGUGAGAUGUUGGGGUUGUGGGUCUCCAUGGGGUGGUGGGAUUUGGCGUGGUGGGUCUCCAUGGGGUGGUGGAUCUCCAUGGGGUGGUGGUCUCCAUGGGGUGGUGGAUCUCUAUGGGGUGGUGGUCUCCAUGGGGUGGUGGAUCUCUAUGGGGUGGUGG
rnacentral:lncRNA from 1 species